rnacentral:snRNA from 1 species
GGCUUUGUGCAGUGGCAGUAUCAUAGCCAAUGAGGUUUAUCCAAGGUAAAUUAUUGAUAAUUGAUAACUAAACAAUAUGUCCUUUAGGGCUGAGGAGACAGCUUGAUGGUCUAAGCACC